GCCCCGGAGGAAGGGGAGGAGGCCGGGUGUUUCCUGGUGCAUUCCCGACCCGCCCGAGUGACUCACUGGGGUAGGAAAGCUCCCGGGCCGCCCUGGACAACCGAAGGCGGCUCAGACCAGGAUGGCUGCCCAAGUGACACUAGAGGACGCACUGUCCAAUGUGGACCUCCUGGAAGAGCUGCCUCUUCCUGACCAGCAGCCCUGCAUUGAGCCCCCACCUUCCUCGCUGCUCUAUCAGCCAAAUUUCAACACCAACUUUGAAGACCGAAAUGCAUUUGUCACUGGCAUUGCAAGAUACAUUGAACAAGCAACUGUCCACUCUAGCAUGGUAAUGCUGUCUGUUUCUUUGUUUCUGUCUUGCAGGAGUCAUAUUUGAGCAGCAAACAAACUAUAUAUUUCCUGAUAGACUAGGUAGAGAAA
rnacentral:lncRNA from 1 species